rnacentral:rRNA from 1 species
AUUGAACGCUGGCGGCAGGCUUAACACAUGCAAGUCGAGCGGAGAUGAGGUGCUUGCACCUUAUCUUAGCGGCGGACGGGUGAGUAAUGCUUAGGAAUCUGCCUAUUAGUGGGGGACAACAUUCCGAAAGGAAUGCUAAUACCGCAUACGUCCUACGGGAGAAAGCAGGGGAUCUUCGGACCUUGCGCUAAUAGAUGAGCCUAAGUCGGAUUAGCUAGUUGGUGGGGUAAAGGCCUACCAAGGCGACGAUCUGUAGCGGGUCUGAGAGGAUGAUCCGCCAAACUGGGACUGAGACACGGCCCAGACUCCUACGGGAGGCAGCAGGGGGGAAUAUUGGACAAUGGGGGAAACCCUGAUCCAGCCAUGCCGCGUGUGUGAAGAAGGCCUUAUGGUUGUAAAGCACUUUAAGCGAGGAGGAGGCUACUGAGACUAAUACUCUUGGAUAGUGGACGUUACUCGCAGAAUAAGCACCGGCUAACUCUGUGCCAGCCGCCGCCGUAA